rnacentral:rRNA from 1 species
AUUCCAGCUCCAGUAGCGUAUAUUAAAGUUGUUGCAGUUAAAAAGCUCGUAGUUGGAUUUCUGGUGGAUCGAGACAACCCGGUUCUAAUGGACUGAGUCGUUGUUUUUCGCAUUUGCCAUCCUUCCAGGGAGUCGUGCCUACCGCUUUUUCGGCGGCCGGGCGCUGCGAUCUGGAUCUUUUACUUUGAAAAAAUUAGAGUGUUUCAAGCAGGCUUACGCUUUGAAUACGUUAGCAUGGAAUAAUGAGAUAGGGCUUCUUUCCUAUUUUGUUGGUUUCUAAGAAGGAAGUAAUGAUUGAUAGGGAUAGUUGGGGGUGCUAGUAUUCAGCGGCCAGAGGUGAAAUUCUUGGAUUCGCUGAAGACUAACUACUGCGAAUGCAUUCACCAAGGAUGUCUUCAUUA